CGUGAUAGGUCAUCCCAUCUGGAAGGAGGGAUGGCUUAAAGGGGCGCGCGGGCUUCUUCUGCCCGUCCGCUCCAGGAUGGGACUGCGUCCGAUCAGGCUGUUGGCGGGGUAAUGGCCCACCAAACCUGUAACCGGUACGGGCCUUGAGAGAGGUGGCCCGGAGAUGGACACUGAGAGAAGGGUCCAGGUCCUACGGGGCGCAGCAGGCGCGAAACCUUCGCAAUGCGCGAAAGCGUGACGAGGUUAAUCCGAGUGGCCUCCGCUGAGGAGGCCUUUUGUCAGCUGUAAAUAGGCGGGCGAAUAAGGGGAGGGCAAGCCUGGUGUCAGCCGCCGCGGUAAUACCAGCUCCUCGAGUGGUCGGGGCGAUUAUUGGGCCUAAAGCAUCCGUAGCCGGUUCCGUAGGUCCUCUGUUUAAUCCACCCGCUCCACGGGUGACCUGCAGAGGAUACCGCGGGACUAGGAGGCGGGAAAGGCGGACGGGACUCCCGCGUGUAGGGUAAAAUCCUUUUGAUCGGGGAAGA
rnacentral:rRNA from 1 species